rnacentral:lncRNA from 1 species
GUUCUGUUUCUUUUUCUCAGGUUCAUGGCUUCCAUCAGAACAUGGCCUUUGUUUUUCCAGACAAUGAAGGCGGUGCUGGUUCUAGAAAAAAUGGAGCCAUUUUGAUGCUGUUGCCACAGAAAGUACACAAAUAAUACAAAGCAUAAACAAAUAAUACACAAAUAAUGUUGUAUUUAGUUCCGAAAACUUGAUUUAUACUAAGAUGCAUAUUCUAAGCGAUGGUUCUCUCUCUCACGACACACUCUCUCUCUCCUUUUUUUUUUCUCCCACCGCGACAUCGUCAUUUUUGAUGAUAGUUGCGGCGCCGUCCGGCCACGCCAGGCCACGAGACCAGUCGAAAAAGAACCGGGAGGAGCCGGUGACCUUCAGGCCGUCACACCGUCGCGACGAGCUCAGAAAGUUUCGGGAUUUUUGAGCUUUCAGUCAUCGUUUCCAGCGAAUCCAGAGGCCAAUUUCGUCGAUCCAGGUAUGAAUCUUCAUCCCCUCCACGUGCUCUAGCUGUCUAUGCUAGUAUCUUGGAUCAAUUUUGAGGUUUUUCAGAUAGUUCAAUAUACCCAUUUUUAGCCAACAAUUUUGCCUCGAUUCGGCUAGUUCUGGUCAGUUUUCAGCUAGUUCAAUAUACCCCUUAGUUGUGCUUGAUGUGUUGGUAUAGGUAUUGUGAGGUGUUUCAAGAAAUUUCUGUCGCUGAAAAUUUCUCAAGACACCCUCACUCUGCCAACUGCGCAUGGCGACUCGUGGGACAUUGUGUGGCAGUCCACUAAGUUCUAAAUUGUUUCCCUUCUCGUCCUGAGCAUGACGGUAUACUCGGAUUUGAAUUUGGUUAUCGUUUGAUAGUUGAACGGAUAUUGCACCUAUUAUGCGAUAUCCGGGUUCGAUAGGGUCGGACUUUUCGAUUAGUCCCAAUUUCAAUUAUGUUGUUCCGCAUAUCUCUAGGAUCAUGUAGGAACUUUACGGAUCGAGAAUCAAGGUUUCGGGUACUCCAAAUCAAUGAUUCUAAGUUUAGGCAAAACAAUCGUCGUCCGAUCGUGCGAUUGGCUUAGAUCCGACCGCUUGAUCGAGAUCAAACUUUCGGGACUUCUUUAGUAAACUUUGUUGGACCUAUAGGAACUUUAGGAUCAGAAAUUAGAGGUCGUGAGCCUCACAGGCCUAGUUGACCUAGAUGGUGGGCCUCAUUGGCCCGAUCAAGACCCUUUUGGUUACGAGGUGUUUGUGGUAGGUUUGUUGGAGUUUAAAUUGGUAUUUUUGCUAUGAAAAUUUUAUUAACUGUUUAUGAAUUAUUGUUCUAUUGAUUUUACUUUCCAAGCAUGAUAUAUCUCUGUUUAUUUUAUAUAUGUUCUAAAUGGAUUAAUAAUUAGAUUGUGUUGCCUUUGGAAAUAUGGUUGCCUUCGGAGAUAUUGAUGUCUUCAGAAUGUAUUCGGACACAUGGUUGUCUUUUGAAUGUCUUCAAACAUAUGGUUGCCUUCGGAUUGUCUUUGGACACCUUAGUUACCUUCGGAUUUGUCGACUUGCGUUUGAUAGUGUGCUCACGAAUUUCGGGGACGCCCGAACCGUGUGGUGCGAGGAUUUGCAUUCUCAGGUGGAGUAUAUCUCCCUGAGUUAUGUGAGGAAUGCAGUCUCAAGCCGACCAUAUGUCCCCUGAGUUUUGCUAGGAAUGCAUCUCGGCCUGACCUCAUGUCCCCUGAGUUCUGCAAGGAUGUAUCACACAUGUGGCAACAUGUGUGGUGCUGGGGAAAUUGACGGAUUAUUUGCAUUCUCGGGUUAAGUAUAGCUACCUAAGUCCUGCAAAGGAAAUUGACGGUAUAUUAUUAGAAUUAAUGGAUUACGUUUGAGGUAUAUCUAUGUGGAGAAUAGUGCAGUACCACCCUGUGGUACACUUGACAGGAUAUUUGAUAGGACCCGACCCAAAUUCUACUUCGGAAUCCGUGUCGAACCCCUUACGUGUCCAGCACCUGGCAGGUGGCGGGCACGAAUGACCAAAGUACCCUUCUUGCCCUAAUCCAAAAACUGCUUUAGCGUUUGACUUCUACCGAGAAACCGGCAGAGUCUCUCUUAAAAAAAGCUCAAAACCCAGAAACCUACCUGCACGGCAAACUCAAAUAAUUUCCCAAGCGUUUAGCAAAUUCAACUUUACAAAACUGAACAUAACAUAACAAACCAAACAAAAACUUGCAGCUGCACCUAGGUUAGCCUAAGUUGCUUACGUAUCCUUAUUGAGGGUUCAAACCACACAUAGUUCUUUCUAUCUUGAGACACAAUUAAGAUAGUACAGAAAUAUUCAAAAUGAAACCAACGAAGAAAUUCUGGAAUCAUUCUUUAUCUUGGUCUCCACAAGUUAUAUAAUUGAAUAUCAUGCCAUUAAAUUAUGUACUUAACUGUUCCAUUAGUUUAUCACUGUACAUCCAAAUACUUGCAUAACCAAACCUUUUACCUGAAAACCAUACCUACAAUCAUCCGCAUAGUACAUAUAUCAUGUAAUCACCCACCAAGGGGAAUAUGGGAACACUAUCAAAUCCAAAGGCAACAAGGGAUGGGGAAACUAGCUAACCACCUGUGUAGACAAGUCCGGCAGAUGGCUUGGGAUCUUGGCCAACCUUGUGCAGAUAAUAUGAGCAGGGUGGUUAAUAAUAUCUUGUUAAUUGUACCACAUGUUGGUACUGCAUUAUUCUCCACAUAGAUGUACUCUAAACAUAAUCCAUCAAUUCCAAUAAUAUAACGUCAAUUCCAAGUACCACACAUGUGGCCACAUGUGUCAUACAUCCUCGCAAAACUCGGGGGACACGCGGUCAACCCGAGAUGCAUUCCUCAUAGAACUCAGGGGACCCAUGGUUGGCCUGAGCCGCAUUCCUCACAGCAGGGAAAUACACUCAACCUGAGAACGCAAAUCCUUGCACUACACGGUUCGAGCGCCACAGAUACUCGUGGGGCAAUGUCAUACGUGCGUAGACAAAUCCGUCAAUUCCCCUCGCAGGACUCAGGGAGAUAUACUCAACUUGAGAAUGCAAAUAAUCUGUCAAUUCCCCUCACAGGAUUCAGGGAGAUAUACUCAACCUGAGAACACAAAAUAAUCCGAAGGCAACCAUAUGUUCGAAGACAUUCCGAAAGCAACUGUAUGUCCGAAGACAUCAUUAUUUCUGAAGGCAACCAUAUUUCCGAAAGAAACACAAUCCAAUUAUUAAUCCAUUUAACACAUAUAUAAAAAUACACACAUAUAUAUCAUGCUUGGAAGUAAAACCAAUAGAACAAUAAUUCACAAAUAUUUAAUAAAACUCUCAUAGCAAAAUACCAACUUAAAAUCAAAUAACCAAGCCCCAAGCCCUAAGCACCUCCCAACCAAUUAGUCUCGAUCGGACCUGCAAGGCCCACCAUCUACGUCAAUUAGGUUUGUGGGGCCUACGAUCUCUGAUUCCCCUAUCCGAAAGUUCUUGUAGGUCCAACAAAGUUUACUAAACAAGUCCUGAAAGUUUGAUCACGACCGAGAAGUGGAAUCUAAGUCAAUCGCACGAUCGGAUGGCGAUCAUUUCGCCUAAAUUUGGCAUCAAUGACUCGAAGUAUCUGGGACUUCGAUUCUUAAUCAGCAAGUUCCUACACAAUCCUAGAGGCAUAGAGAACGACAUAAUUGAAAUUGGAACUGAUUGAACAGUCUGAACCUAAUGAACCCGGAUAUCACAUAAUAGGUGCAAUAUUCACUCGACUGUUAAAUGAUAACCAAAUCUAAAUCCGAGCAUACCGUCUUGCUUAGGAUAACAAAUGAAACAAUUUAGAACUCAAUGGGCAGCCACACAGUGGCCCACGCGCUGCCACCCACCACUGGCAGCGGUGGGUGUCUUGAGAGAUUUUUCGGCUGCAGAAAAUCACAAACCACUGCCCAAUACAUGUGCCAAUAGAUUUAGACUAACUAGGAAAUCUACUUUUGUUCUUGGAACACGGCAAAAAACUAACCGGAAAUAAUCAAAAACACCAACCGCUGGCCAAAAAUGGGUUUAAGAAUUGAUUUCUAAAACCUCAAAAUUAACCCAACCCAAGUACAUAAACAAGUAGAGCGUGAUGAGUAGAGUUUCAUACCUCGCUCGAUGAAAACCAUCGCCCGAAUCACCGAAAAAUGCAAGAACACGCCAGAAAAACCUAAGCAUUUCUCAGCUUCGAUUCGAGCUCUCCCUCAGCAAAUAGGAUCAAUUCUUGCAUCUGUUUUGUAGAGGAGGACGAGAGAAACCUUUUUUGUGAAGCUAGCAUGGCCAACCGGUGCACGACGACGUCAAUUGGUGGUCGAGAAGUCAAACAAUCACUGUUGCUACAAUGAUUGUCGCAAGAGAAGAGAAGGAAGAAGAAAAUGUUGUCGGGGGGGGGGGGGGGGGGGAGAAAGAAGAAGGAGAAAAAUAAAAAGCAGCCCCGGUACUGUAGUAGUAACAAAUUUGAAAAUUCUCAUUAUGUCCUUUUCGUUUCUAGACCUUUCCUCUUUCGUUACAACUCGGAAUUAGCGUGCCGCAUGUCUACAAACUCGUAUCGUCGAGCUCUAUGCAUCGAUGCCACUCAACUCCCCAAAAUCCUUCCAAAACAAAAAGUGACUAAAGUGCCCCUGCACCCAAGGGCAAAAAUGUAAUUUCGCCAUAAAUAAUUAAUUGAAUAGUUAUUUUUGGGACGGGUGUUACAAUAUUCUUCACCAUCCUACUCAUAUUAUCUGCACAGGGUUUGCCCAAGAUCCCUAGCCACUUGCCAGACUUGUCUACACAAAUGGAUAAUUAGUUUCCCUUUCCCUUGUUGCCUUAGGAUUUGGUGGUUUUCCCAUAUACCCCUUAGUGGGUGAUUACAUGAUAUGUGCACUGUGCGGCACUGUGCGGAUAAUUACAGGUAUAUCUUUCUGGUAAAAGGUUUGGUUAUGUAAGUAUUUGGAUGUACAAUGAUAUACUAAUUGAACAGUUAAGUACAUAAUUUCAUGGAAUGAUAUUCAAUUAUAUAGCUGGUUAAAAACAAAGUAAAGAAUGAUUCUAGAAUUUAAUUGUUAGUUUUACCUUGAACAAUAUUAACGUAUCUGAAAUGGAUUUUUUGGUAGAAAGAACUACAUGUGGUUUGAUCCCUCAAUAAGGGUACAUAAGCAACCUAGGCUAACCUAUGUGCAGCCGCAAGUUAAUGAUUUGUUUGUUAUGUUCAGUUUUGCAAGUUAAAUUUACUGAAUGCUUGGGAGAAAUUGAGUUUGUUGUGUACGUAGAUUCUGGGUUUUGAGCCUUUUUCAGGGGAGGCUACUGUUUUCCAGUAGAAGUCAAACCCUAAAGCAAUUUUUGAAUUAGGGCAAGAAAGGUAUUUUGGUCAUUCAUGCCCGACACUUGCCAGGAGUUGGACAUGCACGGGAUUCGACACGGAUUCCAAAAUGGAAUUUGGGUCGAGUCCUUUUAGGGAGAGGUGGGAUUAUAGAGAAGGGUUUGUUGUGUUUAGAGACGCAUCCUACAGCCAUGGUAUUUUCUUUUUAACAUUAACUUGUGUGAAAAUAUCCAACCCCACUAGUCUUUUUCUUAUUUGUUUAUUGAACCAAAAUCAAAUAGUUUUAUUUUUUUUUUAUUUUUGUGGGUUUUUCUAUACGUACUAUUUUUUUUGCGUUUUAUUUUUAUUUAACUGAAUUACUUUUACUAAUGAAGAUUAUCCUCAACUAUUAUAUUGCAAAAUUACUGUUCAAGUGUCAGAUGAUUUUAUAUUUACUAUAUUUAAAUCAAUAGUCACCAAUUCUUUAAAGUGUGAGAUAACUAGUCAAAAUUAAUAGUGAGUAGUAAGCAAAGCCAUUAAUCAUUCAAAUGUCACCAAAACCUACUUUGUCACUUUAAAAAUGUGACUAUUUUCUUUUUUUGGUAGUGAGAGCUUGUAAAAAGAUUUAUGCACAAGCUAACUUGUAUCCACUAGCUGCAAAGAGGAUCAUAAGGUACAUUCAUGGUGCAGUUUGGUAUACUGUAUGGAAGGAAUGUUGAGCCAAACUUGAUUGGGUUAUGUCAUAGUGAUUGGGGAUUAAGUGUGGAUGAAUUGAAGAACACAUUUGGUUACACAUUUACACUGGGAAUUGGUGUAUUUACACAUUUACACAUUUGCUCUAAAAAACAGAAAUCAUUUCUACAAUCAACUACAGAAGCAGAAUAUGUAUCGACUUCAAUUGCAACCUUUCAAGCAGUAUGGUUGAGAAGAAUUAUGGAGGAUAUUGGUGAGAAACAAAAGAAUUGGAAACUCCCCUUCUUCGUGACAACAAAUUUGCAAUUGCUAUGUGCAAGAAUUUUAUCUGUCACAGUAGAGCAAAGUACGUUGCUCUAAAACUUCACUACAUUAGAGAUGUCGUAGAAGAAAAUCAAGUAGAUAUGGUUUAUUGCAUUACACAAGAUCAAGUUGCACAUAUCAUCACCAAAACAUUGUUAAAGGAUAGAUUCUUCCACCUAAGGAAGCUCAUGAGAGUUCAACAACAAGGCAUUAAGGGGUAGUGUUAAAUUUAAUGUGUAAUGUCAUUGUUGUAACUUUCGGACAAAAAGAGCUCGAGCUGUUUCUAUUAGAGAAAAUCAGCUCGAGUGUAAUGUGUCU